rnacentral:rRNA from 1 species
AGCGAACGCUAGCGGCGGGCCUAACACAUGCAAGUCGAGCGCAUACCUUCGGGUAUGAGCGGCGGACGGGUGAGUAACACGUAGGUAAUCUACCCUUUGGUGGGGAAUAACCCGGGGAAACUCGGGCUAAUGCCGCACGAGGUCUACGGAUCAAAGCCUUCGGGCGCCAGAGGAUGAGCCUGCGUUGCAUUACCUAGUUGGCGGGGUAACGGCCCACCAAGGGGACGAUGCAUAGCUGGUCUGAGAGGAUGAUCAGCCACACUGGGACUGAGACACGGCCCAGACUCCUACGGGAGGCAGCAGUGGGGAAUAUUGCGCAAUGGGGGAAACCCUGACGCAGCUACGCCGCGUGGGUGAUGAAGGCCUUCGGGUGUAAAGCCCUGUCGGGAGGGACGAAUACUGACGGUACCUCCCAAGAAGCACCGGCUAACUCCGUGCCAGCAGCCGCGGUAAU